UGAAAAAUUGUCAGGGAAUUAGUGUGUG
rnacentral:piRNA from 1 species